GGAGGAGGGAGGAGGGAGUCCCAGAGGUUAAAUAAAGCAGGUGUUAUUGGUUUGAUCAGUAAAGCGUGGAAGGGCUUCGCUGCAUCACAGCCACGACUUCCCAUUUACAGCUAAUAGCCAUGUGUGCAACGCGCACUUCCCACCGCCCACCACCAGGCCUGGGAACGUUAGACGGCGUGUUCACGUGCUGUGAGAGGCUGUUACCGCUCACGGUCAUCAGUGUAACGUGUUACUGUUGUUGUUGUUGUUGUUGUGUACGAUGUCCUGAGGGUGGCAGUAAAUGGUCUUUAUCGUUGACAGUCUCACGGCUGUCAAUCACACAUCUGGGCCAAUGGUGACUUUCAACAACACCCGCCUCAUUAAUGAGCAGUGACUCCGCCCUCACCUCAGGGGCACUGCAGUCACCGAGAGCCAAUCAGAUCAUCACACAGGCAUCAAACAUGCAUGGUACAAUACGUCAGUCAAAAAGUUCUGAGACAGUGGUUUUCAAAUGUAAGGGGCGCGUGUCCCUGUAGGGACGGCACCCAUCCUUCAAGGAUGACCUUUGACAUCAGGUCACAACCUGCUUCUCUGACUGGUCUAAGGACCUAAAAUCCACUUCCUUUCACAUUUUCUUUCAAUUUCAGGGAAAAUAAAAACCUGUUUUUCUCCCCACUGUUGCCACAGCACCACUGUGUGUGUGUGUGAUCUAUUUUGGAUUUCUAUGAUAAAUGUCAAACACAUUCUAGUUUGUCUUGUUAAUAUAAUUUUGACAUAAUAAUGACUAGAAACACAGUCCUCUGUUCCAGAUGUUAAAUGUCAAAACAGUAAAGUCACUUCAGCCUAAAUAUGACUCGUAUCUUUGGUUAAACAAUUAAAUUCGUUGACUUAAACCAGACAUGAACAAUAAUACGGAACUUGUAACGAAAAUGUUUAAAUUAAAGUUAGUCAUAAACAAUCCUCCGUGGAUUCAACGAACUAUUACCGAAGACUUAACUAAACGAAACACAAUCAGGAAGUUAAUCUCUGGCAAAAUGAUGAUGACACAGCGAGGUGGCGAUAGCCAAUCAGAGCUAUGUGUCUUACCAAAGGGCGGGACAUGUAAACGGAAAUACAAUCCUCGCGAACGUGUUUACGGCAGUAAGAUACGCAGAGAGAGAGACAGCGUGAAACCAGGAGCGGGAAGAAUGUUGUCAGUUUGGGACGAAGCGUCACCAGAACUUGUCCGCUACGACGGCUGUAGUUUAUGGUUCCGUGUUACUUUGAACGACAACGAACACAUUACGUCAACGUCAACUUUGUGGAACGAGGACGAGGAAAGAACGCGAGAGAUUUGAGAGGUCACCUGUCGACGUCAUCACGCAAAGACAGCAGUCCAGCCGACUGUCCCUCCUCACGGUGACGUCACCCCUGUAACAUCCACCACCACAGUGACCGGGAGUUUGCUGCGGGCCAGAACGCUGCGGCUGAAGCUCAGCCAAUCUGGAACGCAGCUCCGCCUUCCUGGAGAUCUGAGAGCAGAGAAGGCACAAGAUUGGUCGCCAAGCAAACUACUACAUUCACAAGUCGUCUGUGCGCACCAGCAACACACUUGGCUGGUCCUGAAUCGCCAGACCAGCAACUGGCAACGUGUGCUCAACUUCUGAUUGUCACUGAUGAAAAAUGUAUGAAUGAGUGAAUUAGGACGGUCAGCUGACUGUGACCAGAGCAGCAGACCGUCCUCAGGUUCUCUUCACGUCAUUUGGAACGUGUGUGUGAAGGCCGUCAGGGUUCCUCGAUAGAACGUUGUUAAACCUUAGCCUUAGUUUUGGACUAGGAACCAACACAUGACCGACAUCAGUGGAGACGGGAGCUGUAGUGACACAGACGACGUGGGCGUCAACAGUCAGUGACCUUGGUAUGACCUGCUUUCACUUGAACUGUAAGACGUGGAAGAAAAUCAACAAAUCUACAAAUGCAUUUUUAAUCAAGGGCAUUAUCAACAACGACCACAUGGUGUCAGCGUGAUUAGAGCUCUUGCCCUUGAGCAAAAAAGAUCUCUGGUUCAAGCCAAGGUGGAAACUGAUAGUGUUUCCAGUUUUGAUUCAAGUGCCUUAAAAGAGGUUAUGGGGAAGAACGCCCCCUUCUGCCCAUAUCUUAAAAGUCCAGAAUGUAAAUAAUAAUAAAAGAUAAAUGUUUACACAGUUAUGAAGAGUCCAAUAUUAUAUAUAAGAUAAUUAUUAAAAGAAAUAUUUUCCUUUUUAUUUGCUCAUUUUGUUAUUUUCAAGACAGAGCACAGGGAAAUGAUUACUAUUAUUAAUUUAUAUAAGUAACCUGCCCCCUCCAGCAGGUGGCAGCCUAACCCUAACCCUGGUUCUUGCUCUAUCUGCACUGAUAUGUUGUUUUGUUUUUGUUUUUCCUAAACUGCUGUUGAACAAUCACCUAAAUACCUGUCAGAGUUUCUGAGCACAGGUUCCACUACAAUUUUUCAUUAAAAUAUUUUUCCACACGACCUCGGAGGCAGAGCUAUUGACAAAUCAACCACUUCAGAUUUGGAUGACUUAAAUGCCCCAGAUUUGUCAGUAUGGCAGGCAGGAAAUAGAACUGCACCAAGCAGAGUGUUUCCCACAGGGCUGGUGUCUGAGAACCUGAGUUCUCUAAUUUAAGGAACAAACUGAGACGUUUAAAUUGAGUAAAAACUAGAAAAUAACCAUUAAAAAAAAAGUCUUUCUGUUCUGACAAUUAGUAUAAAAGAAGAAUCAGAAAAAAAUGAACCUGACGCAGGACUCAACACUGGGUCAGAAAAUGUCCUCGCAAAACAAAACAAAAAAUACCCCUGGAUGAAAAUACUACACGAUAGAGUAAUGUAGAAAUACUGUACACAAAUGAAUAAAGUAAUCAGAAACACAUAUGUAUUGCACAGGUACUACUGUGUACUACUGUGUACUCCUGACUCCAAAGAAUCUCGGUACCAAAUAUUUAUAUCUGUGUUUGUGUUUGAGUCACAGUCGCUGUUAUUUCCUGACCUUCAAUUAGCGACGACAUUUAAAGACCAUCAUUUUCUCCAUUUAAAUCAACUGUAUUUUAACAGUACGUAGCUUUUCCAAAGUUUCUGAUAAUUUUUUAAAAAAUCUUAUUUUCUGCUCUUUGGAUUUGAAAGAUUCUGAUUCCUAACGGUAAAGUCUGUUUUUGUUUUCUAUGCUGUUGAAAUGUAGUCAUUCAUGUUCACGCUGUUGUCUACACACAACACAUAAACUCUUUAACUGUUUCCUGUUUAGAACAGAGAUUUUAUCCUUUAUUUAUUCUUUAUUCUUUUUGUCACUUUUCUUUUUUAAGAGUUCCAAUGUGGAGGAGUUUUUAAUUUCAUGUUCAUCUGCUAUUUUUCCAACAAAAUCAGAGUCGGUGUCUACCAGUGUUCCAAAGUACCACCAGUAGAACGUGUGCCGUAGGUUGACAACCACUGUCCUGGUCGAUGAGUCAGUGAUUAGAGGACGAUUGUUCGUAUCGUUUGUGCUAGUAUCGCAUUUCUGACUUUUAAUGUACGUGUAUUUUCUAAGUGAAGUUCGCGGAGAUUAUUAAGAAUGAAUAUGUGGAAGAAACUACGAACAGACGAGAACAGAAACAUGGCUGUGUUUGUUGUGAUGGAGACACAACGAAGACAACAAAGAACACACAAAGGCAGACAAAGUGUUC